rnacentral:sRNA from 1 species
AGAUCAAAGACUAAGAACGCCUCAUCCUGUGGCAACGUCUUUGUGACCCACAUCGUGCG